UUGAUAAAUUUAAGGUUAAACAAAGGGCUCUGUGAUCAAGGCUAGUCGAUGUUACUUAGUUCAACCACAAAAUUGCGUCGCUAAACUACUGCAAGAGAGGUCCUCAAAAAAGUCAGAGAUGGAGUGGACAUGGACUCUUGAGUCAUAUCCAAGAAAUAGACCUCUAUAGUCUUCAACGUCUCUCAUCCUACCUCUGCCCCGAGGAAAGGAUAUGGAUCUGCAUAAUGUAAUCUGGUUCAAGGUGUACUGCAAGAUCCUACCAUACUAAGUGGCCUUUUGAUGUGAUUAUCUUAGCAAAGUUUGAACACCGACAUGAAAUAAGGGUUGCAAAGUAAAGAGCUGUAGCAUCUACAUGAACUGCAAAACUCAUGGCAUCUGGACCAUUCAUACCUAAGGUCUUAUUCAUCUCUUCAAGUUGAAAAGACUGCAGUGCCUGAAUCCCCUGCAACAUUAUGCUUCAUAUGGAACAUCAGCCAGCCUACAGCUCUCCUUUCCAGCUCUAAGCAAGAGGGACCACAAUUCUAAACAGUUCGUGGACUUGUCGCUUUUUUCA